rnacentral:rRNA from 1 species
CAGCAGUCGCCGCGGUAAUACGUAGGGUGCGAGCGUUAAUCGGAAUUACUGGGCGUAAAGCGUGCGCAGGCGGUUAUAUAAGACAGAUGUGAAAUCCCCGGGCUCAACCUGGGACCUGCAUUUGUGACUGUAUAGCUAGAGUACGGUAGAGGGGGAUGGAAUUCCGCGUGUAGCAGUGAAAUGCGUAGAUAUGCGGAGGAACACCGAUGGCGAAGGCAAUCCCCUGGACCCGUACUGACGCUCAUGCACGAAAGCGUGGGGAGCAAACAGGAUUAGAGACCCCAGUAGUCCCUGUCUCUUAUAC